rnacentral:rRNA from 1 species
UACGUAGGGGGCGAGCGUUGUCCGGAUUUAUUGGGCGUAAAGAGCUCGUAGGCGGUUCGGCAAGUCGACGGUGAAAUCUCCACGCUCAACGUGGAGGGGUCCGUCGAUACUGCUGUGACUCGAGUCCGGUAGGGGAGUGUGGAAUUCCCGGUGUAGCGGUGGAAUGCGCAGAGAUCGGGAGGAACACCCGUAGCGAAGGCGGCACUCUGGGCCGGUACUGACGCUGAGGAGCGAAAGCGUGGGGAGCGAACAGG